rnacentral:rRNA from 1 species
GGUUAAGCGACUAAGCGUACACGGUGGAUGCCCUGGCAGUCAGAGGCGAUGAAGGACGUGCUAAUCUGCGAUAAGCGUCGGUAAGGUGAUAUGAACCGUUAUAACCGGCGAUUUCCGAAUGGGGAAACCCAGUGUGAUUCGUCACACUAUCAUUAACUGAAUCCAUAGGUUAAUGAGGCGAACCGGGGGAACUGAAACAUCUAAGUACCCCGAGGAAAAGAAAUCAACCGAGAUUCCCCCAGUAGCGGCGAGCGAACGGGGAGGAGCCCAGAGCCUGAAUCAGUGUGUGUGUUAGUGGAAGCGUCUGGAAAGGCGCGCGAUACAGGGUGACAGCCCCGUACACAAAAAUGCACAUGCUGUGAGCUCGAUGAGUAGGGCGGGACACGUGGUAUCCUGUCUGAAUAUGGGGGACCAUCCUCCAAGGCUAAAUACUCCUGACUGACCGAUAGUGAACCAGUACCGUGAGGGAAAGGCGAAAAGAACCCCGGCGAGGGGAGUGAAAAAGAACCUGAAACCGUGUACGUACAAGCAGUGGGAGCCUCUUAAUGGGGUGACUGCGUACCUUUGUAUAAUGGGUCAGCGACUUAUAUUCUGUAGCAAGGUUAACCGAAUAGGGGAGCCGAAGGGAAACCGAGUCUUAACUGGGCGUUAAGUUGCAGGGUAUAGACCCGAAACCCGGUGAUCUAGCCAUGGGCAGGUUGAAGGUUGGGUAACACUAACUGGAGGACCGAACCGACUAAUGUUGAAAAAUUAGCGGAUGACUUGUGGCUGGGGGUGAAAGGCCAAUCAAACCGGGAGAUAGCUGGUUCUCCCCGAAAGCUAUUUAGGUAGCGCCUCGUGAAUUCAUCUCCGGGGUAGAGCACUGUUUCGGCAAGGGGGUCAUCCCGACUUACCAACCCGAUGCAAACUGCGAAUACCGGAGAAUGUUAUCACGGGAGACACACGGCGGGUGCUAACGUCCGUCGUGAAGAGGGAAACAACCCAGACCGCCAGCUAAGGUCCCAAAGUCAUGGUUAAGUGGGAAACGAUGUGGGAAGGCCCAGACAGCCAGGAUGUUGGCUUAGAAGCAGCCAUCAUUUAAAGAAAGCGUAAUAGCUCACUGGUCGAGUCGGCCUGCGCGGAAGAUGUAACGGGGCUAAACCAUGCACCGAAGCUGCGGCAGCGACACUAUGUGUUGUUGGGUAGGGGAGCGUUCUGUAAGCCUGCGAAGGUGUACUGUGAGGUAUGCUGGAGGUAUCAGAAGUGCGAAUGCUGACAUAAGUAACGAUAAAGCGGGUGAAAAGCCCGCUCGCCGGAAGACCAAGGGUUCCUGUCCAACGUUAAUCGGGGCAGGGUGAGUCGACCCCUAAGGCGAGGCCGAAAGGCGUAGUCGAUGGGAAACAGGUUAAUAUUCCUGUACUUGGUGUUACUGCGAAGGGGGGACGGAGAAGGCUAUGUUGGCCGGGCGACGGUUGUCCCGGUUUAAGCGUGUAGGCUGGUUUUCCAGGCAAAUCCGGAAAAUCAAGGCUGAGGCGUGAUGACGAGGCACUACGGUGCUGAAGCAACAAAUGCCCUGCUUCCGGGAAAGCCUCUAAGCAUCAGGUAACAUCAAAUCGUACCCCAAACCGACACAGGUGGUCAGGUAGAGAAUACCAAGGCGCUUGAGAGAACUCGGGUGAAGGAACUAGGCAAAAUGGUGCCGUAACUUCGGGAGAAGGCACGCUGAUAUGUAGGUGAAGUCCCUCGCGGAUGGAGCUGAAAUCAGUCGAAGAUACCAGCUGGCUGCAACUGUUUAUUAAAAACACAGCACUGUGCAAACACGAAAGUGGACGUAUACGGUGUGACGCCUGCCCGGUGCCGGAAGGUUAAUUGAUGGGGUUAGCGCAAGCGAAGCUCUUGAUCGAAGCCCCGGUAAACGGCGGCCGUAACUAUAACGGUCCUAAGGUAGCGAAAUUCCUUGUCGGGUAAGUUCCGACCUGCACGAAUGGCGUAAUGAUGGCCAGGCUGUCUCCACCCGAGACUCAGUGAAAUUGAACUCGCUGUGAAGAUGCAGUGUACCCGCGGCAAGACGGAAAGACCCCGUGAACCUUUACUAUAGCUUGACACUGAACAUUGAGCCUUGAUGUGUAGGAUAGGUGGGAGGCUUUGAAGUGUGGACGCCAGUCUGCAUGGAGCCGACCUUGAAAUACCACCCUUUAAUGUUUGAUGUUCUAACGUUGGCCCCUGAUCGGGGUUGCGGACAGUGUCUGGUGGGUAGUUUGACUGGGGCGGUCUCCUCCUAAAGAGUAACGGAGGAGCACGAAGGUUGGCUAAUCCCGGUCGGACAUCAGGAGGUUAGUGCAAUGGCAUAAGCCAGCUUGACUGCGAGCGUGACGGCGCGAGCAGGUGCGAAAGCAGGUCAUAGUGAUCCGGUGGUUCUGAAUGGAAGGGCCAUCGCUCAACGGAUAAAAGGUACUCCGGGGAUAACAGGCUGAUACCGCCCAAGAGUUCAUAUCGACGGCGGUGUUUGGCACCUCGAUGUCGGCUCAUCACAUCCUGGGGCUGAAGUAGGUCCCAAGGGUAUGGCUGUUCGCCAUUUAAAGUGGUACGCGAGCUGGGUUUAGAACGUCGUGAGACAGUUCGGUCCCUAUCUGCCGUGGGCGCUGGAGAACUGAGGGGGGCUGCUCCUAGUACGAGAGGACCGGAGUGGACGCAUCACUGGUGUUCGGGUUGUCAUGCCAAUGGCACUGCCCGGUAGCUAAAUGCGGAAGAGAUAAGUGCUGAAAGCAUCUAAGCACGAAACUUGCCCCGAGAUGAGUUCUCCCUGACUCCCUGAGAGUCCUGAAGGAACGUUGAAGACGACGACGUUGAUAGGCCGGGUGUGUAAGCGCAGCGAUGCGUUGAGCUAACCGGUACUAAUGAACCGUGAGGCUUAACCUU